AUUGGUGUCACCUCGGUAUUUGGCCAAGCCGCAGGCUCCCCUAAGCAACGAACAUCACGGUUGCCUGCAAAAGGCAACAAGUGGUGACCCCGACGUGAUGCUUAGGGGAAUGAGUCGGCUGUCUGCUUGACGGGGCAGGAGCCCACCGCGGAGCGUUAGCACUUGCUGGGCGGUGGAAGCCGGGGGACAAGCCCGGGGACAGAGGGAAUCUGCAGUCACCCCUCUGUCGGUGGAGGUCGCGGACGAGCGACGGAUAUACCCUCCGGAAUCACGCCGGAGAAGAGCCUGGGAUCCUGGUCUCAAUCGGGAGGAGGAUCGGGGGCGUCAUGGAAGCCGUCAUAAAGGCGUGGCUACUGGGGAAGCCGAAGACCCCGACACCGGAGAAGCGGAAAAAAACACUUAUAUGGGUGCGUGGACCACCGAAGACAGGCCAGGACACGGACCCGGCAACACAGCCGUUACUGCCCACACCGAGAAAUUUGGUUCUACCUCUGCUAAUGUGCCUGUGUCUAUGUUCUUUGCCAGGGGGUGGCACGGCUAUUGACUUCUUGCUUUUAGCUCAAAGCCACGGAUGUGAGGAUGUCAAAGGGUUCUGUUGCUUCAACUUAAGUGUUCACAGCGCAUCGAUCCAUAAACAACUACAGUGGAUGCAAGGCCACACACAGAAGAUCAAGAUGCAGGCCGAUCCCUUCGGUGAAUGGUUGGAGGGUCUGUUUGGGGAAUUAGAGCCGUGGCUAAAACAAAUGCUUAAAACGCUUAUCGUAGGUUUAGCAAUAUUCUUGGCUAUUAUGCUCUGUCUUCCAUGCUUUGUUCAGCUUCUUAAGGCAUGCUUAAGAAACUUCAUAGAGGAAAUCUCACGUCAGCAGUACGCGUAUCAGCGCAUUCAUGAGCAAUUAUAGACGCACUUAGGAAUAGAAAUAGAGUUAGAAUUUGCGUUUGCGUUGUAACGGGUCAGCUUUCUGUGGCAUGGGGAGGGGGAGAUGUUGUAAUAGGCGUGAUCGGGGUCUCGGGAUGUAACGUGUCAGGCUCCUCCCCAUGUGUUAGGUACGUGCCACGUGUACCAUCCAGUGGGCGUACACGAAGGGUUAAAAGAUAUAUAAGUGCUUGUUAGAAGUUAAUAAACGCCAUUUUACCGCUCAUCAUAUUGGUGUCACCUCGGUAUUUGGCCAAGCCGCAGGCUCCCCUAAGCAACGAACAUCACGGUUGCCUGCGAAAGGCAACACCCCACAGAUAUUAAUUCCAAAUUUAAAACAAUCUCUCUGAUCAUUUUGUGAUCUCUCAG
ensembl:lncRNA